CCCUUUUAGUGCCAAAUAUGGUGGCAUACACUUUUAAUGCCAACACUGGGAAAGACAAAAACAAAUGGAUCCCUAUGAGUUUCAGGCCAGCCAGGACUACACUUUGAGACCACCAUCUGGUUAGUGUCAGGACUUCCUGCAGCUAUUUUGAGUUAAUUUACUUUCUGUUUUAAGGAGCUUCCCUGGGAGAUGUAAUGUGUCAAUCUCACCCAAAAGUCUGGGGCAUUUAAAUACAUGAUCUGCAGUUAGUGGUUGUUUGUGGAAGUUUAAGAAGUAUGACCUUGCUGGAAGUAUAUUACUGGAGGUGGGCUUUGAGGUUUCAAAAGACUCAUGCCAUUUUGAGUUAUCACUUUCUUUUUCCUGCUCUGGUUCAAGAUGUGCAGCUUUCAGCUGCUGCUCAUAUGCCACCUGCUGUCUUCACUCUGUCAUCAUGAAUUCCAACCCUCUGAAACUGUAAGCCCAAAAUAAGCCUCCUAUAAGUUGCCUUGAUCAUGGUGUUUUAUCACAGCAAUAGAAAAGUAACAUAUAGAAGUUGGUACCAGGAGUGGGAUAUUGCUAUAACAGACUUGACCAUGUGGUUUGGGGAGCAAUGCAGAAGGCUUUGGAACUUUGGACGAGAAAAACCACUGAAUGCUGUAAGCAGAGCUUAAUGGUCCAUUCUAGUAGGAGCUUGCAAGAAAGUGCUGAAAACAGCGUGGACUGUAGUGGCCUACCUCAAAAGAGUUUUCAGAGGGGAACAAUAUAAGCAGCUGAGCUGGAAACCAUUCUUAGAAUAUUUGACAAAGACUAUGGUGGCUUUCUGCCCUUUUCAUAAGAAUUUACCUGAGGUUAAAGUUAAGUACUAGUCUAAUGUCAUUGACAGAGGAGAUUUCAAGACAAUCUAAUACUAACUCUGUUUUAUGGUUAUUAGGAAUUAUCAUUUUUGCAGGUCUACAGUGAAGAGCAAAUAGGGCAGAAAGAAAUGCAGAGUUUGGAGAGGAAGAGUAUACUGGCAAGGCUUAUGUUACAACCGAGGCUUGUGCUGGAAGAGAGACCAAAACUGUUAAGGGUGGCCAAAUCUGCAUUUGAAUGGACAGAAGGCUGCCCUCAGGGUGAGACCCCACUCAGCUGAACUUCAGCUUGUGAAAGGAAGACCUAAGAAAUUAACAAAAACUGUUAUAAAUAUGACUCAAGGGUACCAGGAUUCAUGCCAAGUUGAUAACCGAACCUUGACAGUAUCAGCCAUCCAGUUAUGGCUUCAGAAUCAUGAAGGAUACACAAGAAAAUGGGUUGUGGAAUCUUCCUCCACAGUUAAAGAGAGCCACAGGACCCAGGCAUGUAUAAGUAAAGUCUGGGUUACACUGGUGACCACAAGAUGUAACAGGUGCCAGAGCCAUGGGAUAUCUGCCAAGGAGAACAUCAUACAAAAAUUGGAACCCACCCUGAGCAGAGAGAUCCAUCUUACAGGCAGCAAAGCCAUAUAAGUCCUUUGACAUCAAGACAUGGAACUCCAGGAGUUGGAGGUUUGUCUUGCUGUGCUUUGACCUUGCUUUGGUGCAGUGCUUCCUCACUGCUCUGAUUCCUCAAUUUUGGAAUGGUAAUAUAUAUUCUGUGCCAUUGUGUGUUGGAAGUAUAUAAUUUGCUUUUGAUUUUACAGGGGGUUCCAGUUAAAAGAUUGCUUUGAGUCUCAGAAACUUUGGACUUUUCGUGUAUUGAGACUGGAGGACUAUGGGGACUUUUGAGAUCAAGAUGUGAGCUCUCAGCUGCUACUCCUGCCUGCCGCGUGCUAUCUUCACCCUGUCAUUGUGGAUUUUAGCCCUCUGGAGCUGUAAACCCCAAAUAAACUCUUGUCUUGGUCGUGG